CCUACGGGUGGCAGCAGUGGGGAAUAUUGGACAAUGGGCGCAAGCCUGACCCAGCAACGCCGCGUGAGGGAAGAAGGCUUUCGGGUUGUAAACUUCUUUUAGCAGGGACGAAACAAGUGCCGGUACCUCAGGAGUAAGUCACGGCUAACUACGUGCCAGCAGCCGCGGUAAUACGUGGGGGGCAAGCGUUAUCCGGAUUUACUGGGUGUAAAGGGAGUGUAGGCGGGGCUGCAAGUCAGUUGUGAAAAGCACCGGCUCAACUUGUGGACUGCAUUUGAAACUGGCGUUCUAGAGUACUGGAGAGGCAGGCGGAAUUCCUAGUGUAGCGGUGAAAUGCGUAGAUAUUAGGAGGAACACCAGUGGCGAAGGCGGCUUACUGGACCGUAACUGACGUUGAGGCUCGAAAGCGUGGGGAGCAAACAGGAUUAGAUACCCGGGUAGUC
rnacentral:rRNA from 1 species